GGAGGAGGCAAAGAAGAAGGAGCAAGGUUAUCCAGAAGAGCACCAACUGAAUUGGUGAUCACUUUUUUUUGCUCUGGGAGAGAGUAGGGGGAGAGCAAACCGCAGAAAACGAGAAAAGAUAUAUUCAUUUCAGGGCGGCCG
ensembl:ncRNA ZK185.7 ncRNA